GGGGCUGACAUAGCUUUCGACGAUAGGAACUUAACAGGGUAUUUUGCAAGUCGACCGUACACGUUACAGUACAUUUUUAAUUGCAAAAGAUAAUUUUGCUCGCGUUCAGAACGUAUUUGCUUCGGCAUUUGCACCUGCACGCGUUCUUGCGUAACUAAACGCAGGCGUUCGAAUUUGCUAGGUGACAUCGCAAAUCUCGAGUGUUAUAUUUAUGUCGCUCGCUGCGUAUAGGGAAGUGGCCUAUGCGCGGGACUUUUGCCACGUAACGCUGACUAAUCUUUCCGACUAGAUUUUGAGUUAGGCUGUGUUAUAAAACGAAUCAAUCUAGCCUAAGCUUGUAGACGAAUACCAUGUUACCUUUCGGACCGGGGGGCAGUACCCCGCAGCUCCACCA
rnacentral:tmRNA from 1 species